rnacentral:lncRNA from 1 species
UGACAGAGUGAGACUCCAUCUCAAAGAAAAAAAAAAGAGGAAUAAGGGCUCAAACUAGAGCUGAAGUCAGGCUGUACACUUCAACUGAGGGAAGCCAUCAGGGUGGACUAGAAUUUGAGCUUAGUCUGCAAUCAAGUAGGGAAGUACAACAGAAAGAACACCCAUUAACUCUGGUUAGGUUGUAUUCUAGAACUUGGAGAAGGAGCCAAGGGUCUGAGCAGACCACAGGCCGAGUUCAGCAAUGGUGCCAAUCACUCUCAAGGCGUGCAGUUCCCUAGAAGCAUUCAUAAGAACUCAGCUCAGGACUUAAAGGGACCCUAUCAGCUCUGAGGCCAGAUGUUGUCAACUGACCUUAAAUCAUUGAGGUGAGGAAACAUCAGUCCAGUGAGAGUGGCAUGUGUGGGGAGGAGCCCAGGCUUGCUCUGACCUCUCUCUGGGGCCCCCCACUCCAGAAGGUUGGAACAGCAUUCUACAGCAUUCCAGGAUGUGGAGGGGGCAGCAGUGUUUGUGUGCAGAGUGGCGAGGCCGACCUCCGAUGAGCUUCCCGUAGGAAGGGUGCAGUGGGGGGUGCUCACCCUGCCCAGGGAUGCUAUCUGCUCCAGGACUUGUUUAUCAGCCCACGGGGUGAUCGGCAUGACAUCAAUGGAUAUGCCAGGCUGCAGGCUACAGUGCCGAGAAGGAGAAGACGGAGGCGGUGGUGAUGUCACCCAAGGAAUUAAGUAAGCAGGGGAGCUGAUAACAUCGUCCAGCCAGGCUCACUGUGGGCAGGGUGACUCACUGAAGACGGCCUGCGAUCGCCAGGUGAUUGUUGUUGUGCCCAGCCUGUGGGGCUGGGGAGGAGGAAGGGGGGCAGGCCACAGAGCUGUGACAAGUUCCUCACCGAGGCCCCUGCUCAGGGGAGAGACCUCAGUACACAGUGUCCUCCACCUCUGAGCCCGGGGCUGGCUCAGGAAACAGCCCCCCUCUGCCUGUGCGAUUAUCUUUGUCCACAGUGUUUGGUGUGUGUUUGUGGGGUGUGUCAGGUGAUUUUCCUGCCCGAAGCCUGCUGGGUGCUCCAGGUACUAGCGAUUGCUCACAGCAGAGCAGUAGCCCCCUCCCUGGUUGGACAACUGUCUGUGGAGACAACACCGGAUGGCAAACUGCUAACCGCAACCACGUGGCGUCCUUACAGAGGGAACAGCCUGUUCCUCCCGCUGAGGGCACCUGCAGACCUGCCCCAUUCAUGGCUCCCUUCUCCCUCAGUCCCUGCUGAGGGGAUGGUCCCUUCCCACCCUUAAGGGCACCAUGGACUGUUGUCCAAGUUGAGAACUGUCCAACUGCAGGGGGCACCAUUCACUUGGCAGUCUUCGUGCCAGAUGCUAUGGCUGUCCACAGUGGCCCUGCCCCUUCCCUUUUGUAAAUUACUUCUCAGUUCCCUCCUCCACCAGAAUUAUCACACCAAACUUUCCCCCAUGUAUGCUUGCUUCUUUAUCACCUGACACUCUCAUUCAUUCAUUCCACAAAAAAAUUGUGGCGUUUGUGCAAGGUACUAUUCUAGGCAAGGGAACAAGACAGACCCUCCUGGAGCUCAUGGAGUUCAUAUUCUAGCAUGGGGGAGAACCAAUAAAUAAAUAAUUGGAUACAUAAAACUGCAAGUGACAAUAAGUGCUACAAAGAAAACUAAAGCCAGCCCAGGAUAGAGGGUGAUAGUGCCCUACUUCAGCUAGGACUGCCAGAAAGGCUUCUCUGUGGGGAGGUGGCCUCUGAGGGGAGACCUGGAGGCAGCAAAGGAGGAAGCCUUCCCGGCAGAGCCCCUCCCAUUGGCACCCAAUGCCAAAAGAAGUUUCUAUAACCCGUCCUGGUUCUGCCAGGAGCCUGCGGCAUGGCCUGGGGCGCUCAAUUCCCAGUGCAGGGUGUCUAUUUCUUCCCCCAACAAACAAGAGGCCUAGUCGCAUAGUCUCUUCCAGCACAA